GACGAACGCUGGCGGCGUGCUUAACACAUGCAAGUCGAACGGUGAAGCGCCUUCCUUUUUGGUGGGUGUGGAUGAGUGGCGAACGGGUGAGUAACACGUGAGUAACCUGCCCCCUUCUUCUGGAUAACCGCAUGAAAGUGUGGCUAAUACGGGAUAUUCUGGGUCUGUCGCAUGAUGGGUCUGGGAAAGAUAUUGUUUCGGUGGGGGAUGGGCUCGCGGCCUAUCAGCUUGUUGGUGGGGUGAUGGCCUACCAAGGCGGUGGCGGGUAGCCGGCCUGAGAGGGUGGACGGUCACACUGGGACUGAGACACGGCCGAGACUCCUACGGGGGGCAGCAGUGGAGGAGAUUGCACAAUGGGCGCAAGCCUGAUGCAGCGACGCCGCGUGAGGGAUGGAGGCCUUCGGGUUGUGAACCUCUUUCGCCAGUGAAGCAGGCCUGCCUCGUUUGUGGGUGGGUUGACGGUAGCUGGAUAAGAAGCGCCGGCUAACUACGUG
rnacentral:rRNA from 1 species